AGAAGAUUUCAUGUUAUCCGUCGGCUUAGUUUAUGGAAUU
rnacentral:sRNA from 1 species